ACCAGCAUGGCACAGUGGUAAGGAGCAGGGCUUGUAACCAGAAGGUUGCUGGUUCGAUUCCCCGCUGGGA